UUAAAUAAAUUUUUAAAAAAUAAACAGUUUGUAUCACAUUUAAUGUACAUUAAAAUGUGAUAUGUGUCCUUUUCAAUCUAUGUUGUGCUCAAGGAAUGCAAGAUUUGGAAUCCUGUCUAUCUUCUAAUUGGUUUACAUAAUUUAACUUUAGCAUGGAGUGUUUUUGAAUGUUUGUUAAACCUUUUUAACUGGAGUAUUCUCUUAAUCCAAAGAUCAGGUUAUCUCUUCCUUUCUCAGUUGCACAACAUUGAUUCAGCUAGAGAUUGAGACAGUGGAAGAAAUGAAUAUUGUAAAUUUGAAAAUAGCCUCAUGAAGGAUGUCUCAUAUUUGUCAUUUCUUUAAUUUACUAAACAUUAAUUUACUAAAAAAAAAAAGCUUGCUUUUUCCUUACUAGGUUUUAUGACUUUAAAAAUAUUCCUGUUAUAAGUAUGGUCAUUAUUUGAAAAUUAUAAAUGAGAUAUAGUCAAAGUUAUUCCACAACUUUUUUCAACAAUGUGAUUAUUUUUAGCAUUUCAUACAGGUAAUUCUGAAUUCUUUUGGAAUUAGAGUAUUCUGUAAUAUAUAAAGUAUGAUAAGUAUUAAUAAAGUAUUAAACCUCCUUCUAGGGCAUUCACUCUUAUCUCCAGGCAAAGUAUAGAUUUUAUCAUUUGCAGAUACUUGGGUGAGUGCCCACAGUACUCAAGGAUAAGUUUUUUUGGAGGUUAUAUUACUUUAACCACAAAUAGAAGAUUAAGCAGACCCAUAAUAGGACACAGCUAUUAAAUCAUGAAAUAGACCAGGUGUGGUGGCUCACACCUGUAAUCCCAGUCCAUUAUAGGACUUCCUUUAUGGGUUAGUAACAGCUACAAACCAGAAGGGCAAAUGUAUUACUUCAUAACACAGUGUUGUAAUAUUUCAUGAUUUUGAUUGUUUGUUUAUUUUGAGACAGAGCCUCUUUCUUUCGCCAGGCUGGAGUGCAGUGACACCAUCUCGGCUCACUGAAAUCUCCACCUUCCAGGUUCAAGUGAUUCUCCUGCCUCAGCAUCCAUAGUAGCUGGGAUUACAGGUGUGCACUACCACACCCAGCUAAUUUUUGUGUGUUUUUUUUUUUUUUUGUAGAGACAGGGUUUCACCACGUUAGCCAGGUUGGUCAUGAUCUCCUGACUUUGUGAUCCACUCACUUUGACCUCCAAAACUGCUGGGAUUACAGGUGUGAGCCACCACGCCUGGUCUAUUUCAUGAUUUAAUAGCUGUGUGGCCUUUCUGGACAAACCAUGAUAUAAAACUCAGUACCAAGUUUUCCUUCCUUGUAAUGGCAAAACUUCUGUUAAAAAAUAUAAAGUGUUCUCUCUUAUUUACAAAAAAGUAGUUUUUGUUGGUUUCAACUCAGGUUACCUAGGUUUCUGAAAGACAGGGUGUCUCCUUGGAUCAUUGGAGUCAGUCUGUCAGACAGAAAACAUUCCUCCUACCACCAACCCACUGAAUCAUUCCUGUGAAGUAUAAUUAACUAGUAUCAAGUGACAGCAAUGAAAUGAUUUCUGAAUUAUUCUCUUCUUUAUAUGCCGGAAGCUUACCGUGGUUAUUUUUUUUUUAAUGUAAUAUUUAUACUAAUUAUCAUUUGCUUUUUGACAGGAAACACAUUAGGACAACUCUCUCACUCUUCCUAUGACUCAUGCAUUUACAUCUUGAGUCUUGAUCUUUAAGCCAAUUCUAGCCACAUACCUUCUGCUUCAUAUCAGACUGUAUCACUUUUCCUGUUAUCCUGCUAGAACUUUUUAUUCGAUGUAUCCCAAACUCAUCCUGCCUUCCUUCACACACAGAUCUAUCUCUUGGUCAAGCUUCUGGUUUCUGUCAAUAUCCCUUCCCUUCCCAUUUGCUCAGCCCAGAACCUCACAGCCAUGUAUAUAUAUAUAUAUAAUUUUUUUCUUUGUUUUCUUUGUUCUAUUUUCAUUUCCUUAUUUUUUAAAAUCAUUAUAUGAGUGUGUGUGUAAACAUGCAAACACACAUAUAUAUAUAUUUUGGGACAGGAUCUCACUCUAUCACCCAGGCUGGGGUGCAGUGGUGUGAUCUUGGCUCACUAUAACCUCUGCCUCCCAGACUCAAGGAAUCCUCCCAUCUCAGCCACCCAAGUAGCUGCAACUAUAAGCUUGCACCACCAUGCCUGGCUAAUUUUUGUAUUUUAGUAGAGAUGGUUUCACCAUGUUGCCCAGGCUGGUCUUGAACUCCUGAGCUCAGAUGAUCUGCCUGUCUUAGCCUCCUAAAGUGCUGGGAUUAUAGGCAUGAGCCACUGCGCCCAGCCCAUAUAUAUAUUUUUUAAUUUCAACUUUUAUUUUAGAUAUAGAAGGUAUAUGUGCAGAUUUGUUACAGGGAUCUGUUGCACCCAGGUAGUGAGCAUUGUACCCAACAAGUACUUUUUCAACCCACACCACACUGCCUCCUUUCCUCCUCCAGUAGUCCACAGUGUCUACUGUUCCCAUGUUUAUGUCUAACACAGCUAUAUUUGAUGCUUCCCUUUUUUAAGUUUCCUGUCCAUUCCAUUUCCAUGCCUUGUCUGACCUUUCUUUCAAAAUAUUUGCUCUGUUUCAAAAUGCUUCUGUAGUCCAAGGAAAAGUCAAACGUAAACAAAAAGAGGAGCAUCUCUUCUGGUGAGACUGGAGAAAAGGAUUUAAGGUACAAUGUGAAUGGAAACGAAGGCACUGAGAGAAUAUAGCAGUCGAAGGGUGGAGAGGCAAAAAUCUGCUAUCAUGGAGUUUAAGUUCUAAUGGAAAGUGACACCAAACAAAGGAAAUGGAUAAAUUAAGUAAUUUUAAAUAGUAAAUUAAAAGACAGGGCCUUACUCUGCCACCUGGCUGGAAUGCAAUAGCGUGACAUUGGCUUACUGCAUCCUGGACUCAAACUGAUCCCCCUGCCUCAGCCUCUCAAACAGCUGGAACUACAGGAAUGUGCCACCAUGCCUGGAAAAUUUUUGUGUUUUUUGUAGAGAUGGGGGUUUCAUCAUGUUUCCUCGGUUGGUCUCGAACUUCUGGACUCAAGGAUCUGCCUGCCUUGGCUUUCCAAAGUGCUGGCAUUAUGAGUGUUAGCCACCACUCCCAGCCUUAAUACAUUUUUGAAUUUGAUUUGGCAAAAUCGUAUUUAACAUUACUUCAUCUAUAGCCAUAACUGCUAUUUUGUUUAAUUUCCUUUCUUUUUGUUUCUUUCUCUUACUCUCUCUUUCCUCAAGUCCUCUCCCUUGGUUAUUGUUUUUUGUUUGUUUUUACAUUUGUCAACUGUUGGUAUCAGAUUUGUACACCUGAUAAAUCAAUUUGGAAGUUUUUUCUUUUUAGUUAUAUCACAUGGUAUUCUAAAAGAAUUUGUUGCUAAUAACCAUCUGGCUCUAUAAUCUUCUUAUAUUUUCCCAGAAAAAAGUUAUGUGUUCAUUUAUGCUUCUACCUAGCAUAUAUUCUUUUUAUUAUUUCUGGUUUUCCCUAUGAGCUCAGAUACAAAGUUGGAAAAGAAGGUUCCCUAGGGUAUAAUCAAGGUAAGGAUAAUGACCAGAAGUUCUCAUAGGUAAUGAUUCGUACUUUUAUAAAUAUAUUUCUAUGUAAAAUAUUCUAAACAUACAUGAAAAGAUAAGAAGGAUGAACAUUUGAGCUGCCACAACCCAUCUUUGUCAAAUGGGAACACUGUCUCUCUUUUUUUAAACUUUAUAACUUUCAGUAGGAUCACUUCUUUUGGAACUGAAUCUUGAUGCUACCUAUAUUAUGAAUUUUAGCUAUGUUUGAUACAGUUAUUUCUCAUUGUCUUGGAAUGAUUACUUUGAAUAUUUCAUCAUGUGAUUUUGUUAAAAAAUGGUAA